CACACACUAAACAACUUUCUUGGAAGACUAGCACGUAGGCUUAGGCGUGCUGCAGCUCGGUGCGGUUGCGGUACUAGUGCUGCGAUGAAUGUGCAUGUGCCACAGGAACGACAAUGCAACACACCUGUUGUGCAUGGUACAUCUUCUUUGGGAGGAUCUGGAGGACAGAGCUCGUCUCGGCCAACUAUGGACACUUUUCAAAGCGAUGAUGAUGAGGACGAAGAGGGGGUGGCCGAGGAGCGUGACUAUGACGAGCUUGGG